UUUAAUAAAUUAUUUAAAUUAAGAUAAUAUUAAUUAUUUUCUUGACGCAAAAACAAUUUUAAUUAUUAAUUAAAGAAUUAAAAGGAAAAAAAAGUAGAUCUGCCCAAUGUACAGGUGAAAGUGAGAAGCGGCAAAGUUCCCCCCAAAACUAAAAACCACUGCCGAGUAAAAACCCCUAACCUGUACUCUCAAAAAACUUCUCACUCACAAACACUCUCCCUGGAUCUAUGUAUCUAUCAACACUCGGGGGGUUUGUUAUGUUUAAAUGGAAGCAAAACAAUGCUAUAGUCAUUUUCAGUAUCCAUGUGGUCCUCUUGCAUCUCGGUUUGCUCUGCUUUUCACAUGUUUGUGGCCAACAUGAAUCUUAUAUCUUGUUUAUGAGUUUAAUUUUGUUUAUUUGUAUUUGAGUGGCUUGAUUUUGUAUUUCUUCACUACUAAUUGUUAUUUUCUAAAUUAUCCAUGUGAUUAGGGCUCAUUUUUAGGGGAACUUUGAAUUAGGUCAUUAAAUUACAGUUUUGGUGAAUUGGGGCUUUCAUUGUAUAUAUUUGAUUACAUACAACUGUUAAUAUUUGAGCAGCCAAGGCUCAAGAGCUCAAAAGAUGACAUAUCGAUGGGGUGACAUGUAUGGCUAACAAUCGGAGUAAUUUGAAAGGAUUAUUUUUUCGUUGGGCUGACAGAGGUAUAUUGUUCUUGACACUGGUUUUUAACUUGCUGUCUUUAGUUUAGUUGUGAAUAAUGAGAUGGUUGGAUAUUCUAUUUCGUAUUGUUGUAUGUGGUCGUUAGCAGAAGCUCAUUAAGUCUGCUAUGGUUUAUAGAUUUUAUAACAUUGAUAAGUAUGGUUUGGGUGUCUAGGCUAGUUUUGUUUGUGUGUGUAAUGGAUGUGUUUUGAUUUUUCUGAUUUUUCUGAUUUUUCGAUCAUCUACUUCUUUUUUGUUGCGGGGUUGUUAUUUGUUUACUCUUGUUCCCUGCAAAGAAAUAAGUGUGGAUAGUUAUGCAUUGGAAUCAUAAGUAGCAAUUAAGUGUUAAUUUCCAAUUCAACGAGUUCAAUGCACGCCUGUCUUCAACUAGAUCCGUUUCUUAAUGAAUUUACAAGCAUGUUUGAGCACAAUACUGAGCAGGGUUGUGUGUAGGUCACUUUAUAUAUUUUAGUAUCAAGAGACGUAUUAUGUUGAUAUGUGCUGUAUAAAAUAUUUAAUUGAAGCUAGGUUUAUGUGUAACUGUUACUCAUCUGGCUAUGGAAUACAUUCCCAGAUUAAAAAAUUUGAUAAUGAUUGAUACUGUCUUGUCACUCCAUUAAACAUGACGUAACAUCUGUAUUCAACUUUGGACUUCAUUAAUUGGUGUUAGUCGUGCAAUAUGUUUAAAUUAAAAAAGUUAUGUUUCUUUUAUAUGUUCGAAUUUACUCCAAAUUGCAUGUGGGCGUUUCACUUCUUAUGAGCAGGCUGUGCUUUGGGAAGUUUAGGCAUGCUUUGAGAAUAGAUAUUUUAAUCAAACUGUGCACUUUAGAUAUAAAAAAUCUUGCUGUUCUGAUGGAUUGUAUGGUGUGGAACAAGAGCUGUGUUCCAAGUUAUGCUCAAGACUGUGGGUUUUUUUUGUUUUUAACACCCUUCCAUAACUUCUCCAUCUUAGUUAUUAAACUCUUUCAUUCUGUAUUCCUAACUAUACCAUUCUUUUUUCCACAUAAACCAAGCCAUAAUAAGAAACUGACUUUCUCAAGGAACAAAGGACUAUCACCACAUGGCAGGAUUGUGCAUAGGCGUGCAUAUGCUUGAGUUAGAGCAAGAGUGGAGAUGUCCCAAAUUGAUGCAGUUGCUUACAACAUUGGCAUGGCUUUGUGGAAAGUUUUUGGUGGAGCUUCUAGCACAAUAAAACAGAUAUAAUAGUUUAGUUUCCGAGCUACACCAUUUCCCGGCUCAUUUUGUCGGCUUCUAUCGACUCUAUACAGGCUCUUGCCAGUUGUGUGAAACAUUACAAGAUUUUACAUUUUUAUAUGUGGUUGUACGUUGAUACUAUAGUUGGUAAUGAAAAUUUUUGUUACUAA